rnacentral:lncRNA from 1 species
AAUCAUAAGCAUCGACAAGGCAUUCGUAACUAUGAAAAGCAUGAUACUCUUGCCAGGAAUCUACUUAACACAAUCGUGACUAGCGACCUUCACUACUUACGAAUAUAAAUUCAUAACGAUUAGGUGAAACAAAUUUAUAUCCUAGCAUCAAAUUCAAGCAUGCAAAUUAAGCAUGCACUCUCAAUCAACAUACAAGAAUAAGUUCUAAAUCAAAUGGUUAAGCAAAUUGUAUUCACG